rnacentral:tRNA from 1 species
AACCCUGUGGUGUAAUGGCAAACACAAGGAGGGCCUCGACGGUCUUUCGUGAUAUAGGUUCGAAUCCUGUCAGGGCUG